rnacentral:rRNA from 1 species
UGGGGAAUAUUGCACAAUGGGCGAAAGCCUGAUGCAGCAACGCCGCGUGAGGGACGAAGGCCUUCGGGUUGUAAACCUCUUUUAGUAGGGAAGAAGCGAAAGUGACGGUACCUGCAGAAAAAGCACCGGCUAACUACGUGCCAGCAGCCGCGGUAAUACGUAGGGUGCAAGCGUUGUCCGGAAUUAUUGGGCGUAAAGAGCUCGUAGGCGGUUUGUCGCGUCUGCUGUGAAAACCCGAGGCUCAACCUCGGGCCUGCAGUGGGUACGGGCAGACUAGAGUGCGGUAGGGGAGAUUGGAAUUCCUGGUGUAGCGGUGGAAUGCGCAGAUAUCAGGAGGAACACCAAUGGGCGAAGGGCAGGAUCUCUGGGCCGUAACUGACGCUGAGGAGCGAAAGCAUGGGGAGCGAACAGGAUUAGAUACCCUGGUAGUCCAUGCCGUAAACGUUGGGCACUAGGUGUGGGGGACAUUCCACGUUUUCCGCGCCGUAGCUAACGCAUUAAGUGCCCC